ensembl:snoRNA SNORA75 Small nucleolar RNA SNORA75
ACCUUCUCAUGAGCUCCUGUUAAUCUGAUCUGUGAUUAUGCAUGGAUUCGCACGAGAAGCAGAGGCAAUGCACAGUCAGAACUGGCUUUGCCCUAUUUUUAUAUGGGUAUUGACAAGGUCUGCUGUGCUACAAGU